GGACGCGCUUCCGGGUUUCAGACGAGGCGGGGGCGUGGGCGGGGGCGGGGGCGGUAGGGGCCUGAGGUUUUCCGCGAAGCAGGUGCGUCCGCGUGCCGCUCUCGCCGAGGUCCUGAGUUUAGCUACUGGGAUGGGAUAGGGGAAGGCGCUAAUCGAUUACAGGAGUCCCCUGCCCAGAUCGCGGGCUCCGGCCGCGACACUGACAAAUCGGGGAGCCUGCUCCAGUGUACGAAGAAAUGCUGUGCGUCCCCGCAGAGUUCUCCACUGACUCCUCCUGGAGCCUUCCGCCCGACCCUCGCCCCUCACCCCGCGUGCACACCAAUAGGCUGCUCUUCUGUCUGUCCUUUAGCCAGUGUUGACGCGCAUGGCCACCCCCCGCCCCUCACCAUCUGCCUUUCAGUUUCUAGGAAUGAGAGACGUGACCCAGGGGGCGAGAUGAUAUUAGCCACUGUUUCCAGAUAGAAGAAGCAUCGCUUCCUCCAGUCCAGUUGAAAGAAGAUCAUGAAAUGACCAAAUCCAGAUUGAUAGAUGAAGCGUAAAACAGGACCAGAUGCUGUGGUUUCCAGGAUGCAGUUGGCUUCCCAUGCUUUAUGACCUGGAGCACUUAUUGCUGUGCUCUUCGUCUUCAGAAACAUUGAUGCCUCGGAUGCCAGAAGGAUGUCCUGAAGGGAAAGAUUGGUAGGAGUGAGGCACAGGCAACCUUGACUCCUUCUCUAUGUCCCUCCUACACCUAGACGAAAGAGGGCGACUCUGGGAUGCACCCGGCAAAUGCACCAACACCUGCUGGGCAGUCUGAAUCCAGACAGGUAAAGAACUAGAGUGCCUGGAAACCAACGUCUGGUAAUAUCUGUACAUCCAAACAGAUACCUGCAGGUGAAGUGGAAAAACAAUACACAGAUUUGAAACUUCCUGUGCAUUUGAUAGAGUUAGCUCUUUGGAGAUUUCAGCUCUACCACUCGGGUAGGGCGAGCCCCUGGGUACAAGGAAGAAAUGAAGGAAAACAAAAACGGAAAACUGAAGUUUCCUUCAGGAACCUAUUUAACACUGGGGAGGGAAGGAGGUGUUUAUUCGGUAAUUAUUAAAAACGACCUGAUAAUA